UACAGAGGGGGCAAGCGUUGUUCGGAAUUACUGGGCGUAAAGGGCGCGUAGGCGGCCUUCUAAGUCGAACGUGAAAUCCCUGGGCUCAACCCAGGAACUGCGUCCGAUACUGGGAGGCUUGAAUCCGGGAGAGGGAUGCGGAAUUCCAGGUGUAGCGGUGAAAUGCGUAGAUAUCAGGAGGAACACCGAUGGCGAAGGCAGGUCUCUGGGCAUUAACUGACGCUGAGGAGCGAAAGCAUGGGGAGCGAACAGG
rnacentral:rRNA from 1 species